rnacentral:rRNA from 1 species
AUUGAACGCUGGCGGCAGGCCUAACACAUGCAAGUCGAGCGGAAACGAGUUAUCUGAACCUUCGGGGAAUGAUAACGGCGUCGAGCGGCGGACGGGUGAGUAAUGCCUAGGAAAUUGCCCUGAUGUGGGGGAUAACCAUUGGAAACGAUGGCUAAUACCGCAUGAUGCCUACGGGCCAAAGAGGGGGACCUUCGGGCCUCUCGCGUCAGGAUAUGCCUAGGUGGGAUUAGCUAGUUGGUGAGGUAAGGGCUCACCAAGGCAACGAUCCCUAGCUGGUCUGAGAGGAUGAUCAGCCACACUGGAACUGAGACACGGUCCAGACUCCUACGGGAGGCAGCAGUGGGGAAUAUUGCACAAUGGGCGCAAGCCUGAUGCAGCCAUGCCGCGUGUAUGAAGAAGGCCUUCGGGUUGUAAAGUACUUUCAGCAGUGAGGAAGGCGGGUACGUUAAUAGCGUGCUCGUUUGACGUUAGCUGCAGAAGAAGCACCGGCUAACUCCGUGCCAGCAGCCGCGGUAAUACGGAGGGUGCGAGCGUUAAUCGGAAUUACUGGGCGUAAAGCGCAUGCAGGUGGUUUGUUAAGUCAGAUGUGAAAGCCCGGGGCUCAACCUCGGAAUAGCAUUUGAAACUGGCAGACUAGAGUACUGUAGAGGGGGGUAGAAUUUCAGGUGUAGCGGUGAAAUGCGUAGAGAUCUGAAGGAAUACCGGUGGCGAAAGGCGGCCCCCUGGACAGAUACUGACACUCGAAUGCGAAAGCGUGGGAGCAAACAGG